CAGCCGCCACGGUAAUACAGAGGGUGCAAGCGUUAUCCGGAUUUAUUGGGUUUAAAGGGUCCGUAGGCGGAUCUGUAAGUCAGUGGUGAAAUCUCACAGCUUAACUGUGAAACUGCCAUUGAUACUGCAGGUCUUGAGUAAAUUUGAAGUGGCUGGAAUAAGUAGUGUAGCGGUGAAAUGCAUAGAUAUUACUUAGAACACCAAUUGCGAAGGCAGGUCACUAAGAUUUAACUGACGCUGAUGGACGAAAGCGUGGGGAGCGAACAGGAUUAGAUACCCGCGUAGUCCCUGUCUCUUAUAC
rnacentral:rRNA from 1 species